CCCUUAGUUACCCUAGGCCGCACGCGUGUUACAAUGACUUUUUCAGCAAGUUCUCCUGGCCCGAGAGGGUGCGGGUAAUCUGAAAUCAAAGUCGUGUUAGGGAUAGAUCUUUGCAAUUAUAGAUCUUGAACGAGGAUUUUGUAGUAAGUGCGCGUCAUCACCGCGUACUGACUGCGUCCCUGCUGUUUGUACACACCGCCCGUCGCUUCUACCGAUUGAAUGUUCCGGUGAGUAAUUUGGACCCGGGGGGCUUGCUCCUCUGGGGAAGUUUCGCAAACCUAUGCAUUUAGAGGAAGAAGAAGUCGUAACA
rnacentral:rRNA from 1 species